AGUGUGAAGUUCAGUCAUCAGAGAACAGAUGGAUGUGAGGAGACAGCUGGAGCGACGCUACCACACACACUCUCACACAAACACAGGUCCUUAGGGAUCAUAUGUACUGUGCCAGAUGACGCUCAGCUGUUAUUUGCCACUGGAGACUCACAAUUUAUGUGCUUUAAAAGGAGCACUGCAACCAUUUUAACAAAUUUACUAUCAUUAUCAAAUUGCUACAGCUAUUCUUUGUUUUGGACAUAAACUAUAGUGCUAAUAAAAAUGUCACACAAUAUGCCGUGCCUGCAGUAACUCAUCGUUUUCCCCUGAUGAGAAGAGAAACUGGUUUCAUUUGGCAUGUGCAGUAAAACCCGGCAUGGAUCGGAUAUUGUAUUUGUUAGAAUAAAAAGUGUACCUGAUGUGAAAUACUGGAUGAUUGG
rnacentral:lncRNA from 1 species